UCGUAAUAUUUUCACCGUUCGGCACUAGAAGAACCUGACCAUGCAUAAAUUACGUUAUUACAUAUCUAAAAAUGAUAAAUGCAUGUAAAAAGUUGAGUUAUCAUUGUCCCAGAUAUGGAAAGGUACCCUUCACAGAACAUCAAAUACUCUCAAUACAGUGAAUUCAAUAAAGGAUUUCUUUAUGGAGUUCACUGCCUUCAGUGGCACAAUUUAAGUUAAUCUAACAAGAGAUGAAUUAUUUUUCGCAAUAAACUAACUAAAAACUCAAAUACCUACAUUGAUACCUAUUGUGGACAACAUUUGGAUUCAUUGAAAUGGAUGAAAAAAUCAACGAGGUGGGCGCUAAUCUAAACAAUAACAUUUCAUUAAUAUCUACAAAUGAUUUUUCAUAUUAAAAAAACAAUUUGCUCUUUCAGAUUUUCUUGACCUGAUCAAAAUGAUUGGACACUGAUUAUGUGGGAACCAAUCAUAUGGGAGAUCCCUUAGCAGCCCAGCCCUAGAAGGGACAAGACUGUUACCUAAGACCCUUCAAUCAUUUUUUCUCUUCGACCUUGUGGUCACCUUAGUAUCCAAAAAUCUGUCUGAAAUGAAAAUGUUCGGGUUAAUCAUAUUAUGAAAUCAUAUUUUCUGAAAUCGAGAAUUCAAUUCGAUAUUUGAUUUUCGGGUAGGAACUUCAGACUAUAGGGUGGUUUUAACGUGCUUUCGGAUUUGUUUUUUGCAUUACUUACUUUUAAGGGCGAUUAAUAAAUUCCGAGAGAUAGAAAACACUUCACAAAUCGUUUUCGCGUAGACUCAACGAAAAGACGCCGCUUGAUUCGAAACAUUUUCGAAUUUUUAAGUUGGCUGUGGUGGCGCAAUGACACGAAAGGAACAUCGUGCGCAUGAAACAAUAGGAGCAGGUCACUAUGUUUAAUUCGCUUUCAAAAAUCAUUUCUCUGUGAUGAUUGAUGGUCACAGAUUAAUUUUAGUGAAUCUGUGGUUACGAAAAAUAUCGUUAAUAUUUUUAUCAGUUUGCAGAAAACAGACAACUAAACUUGUAUUUGUUGAUGUGUAACAACAGUUGUUACUUGUUGUAUUCUAAAUGUGUGUAUGUAGUUAUAUUAGUUUUCCGACAUUCAUUUUCAAAUUUAGUGCUUUUUGUUACUGUUCGUUUGAGGACCGAAAUCAGAGACAACGGUCUCUGAACGAAAUAUUUUUACCGUCUUCAUGGGUAACAUAGGGAUUAGGUAUUCCCAGAAGUAUAAAAAAUCUUCAAAUAUUCAAAUUUAAUGAUAGAAUAAGGGUGUAUACCACCCUUACAUAAUUCAGGUAUUUGGAGAAGCUAAUAAGAGGUUUUCAAUUCAUAUGCUCCAUGAACAAAAUUAAUUUAUGCUACACUGUGAUAUGUAAAAAUAUUUUAUUAAUUCACAACUCAACCAAUACUCAAUCUGUAACAAAAUUUCAUUUUGAGCUGGUAAUCAAUGGCCUUUUCAAUAACCAUUGAUUGCCAAUAUCAUGUAAAAAGACAAACAUAUUCAUUUUAAGCUUAGUGUAAAUAUUUACAAUCACUCUCCCAUGUGUAUAUUUGAAUAGAAUAGACUCUAUAAUAUGAUGAAUAUUUUUGUGGCGGGACUAUUUCUUCAAAA